GAUGAACGCUAGCGGCAGGCCUAACACAUGCAAGUCGAGGGGUAGAGUUAGCUUGCUAACUUGAGACCGGCGCACGGGUGCGUAACGCGUAUGCAAUCUGCCUUGUACAGAGGGAUAGCCCAGAGAAAUUUGGAUUAAUACCUCAUAGUGUUAUAGAGUGGCAUCACUUUAUGACUAAAGUUCCAACGGUACAAGAUGAGCAUGCGUCCCAUUAGUUAGUUGGUGUGGUAACGGCACACCAAGACGAUGAUGGGUAGGGGUCCUGAGAGGGAGAUCCCCCACACUGGUACUGAGACACGGACCAGACUCCUACGGGAGGCAGCAGUGAGGAAUAUUGGGCAAUGGAGGCAACUCUGACCCAGCCAUGCCGCGUGCAGGAAGACGGUCCUAUGGAUUGUAAACUGCUUUUGUACGGGAAGAAACCACUCUUCGUGAAGAGUCUUGACGGUACCGUAAGAAUAAGGAUCGGCUAACUCCGUGCCAGCAG
rnacentral:rRNA from 1 species